rnacentral:rRNA from 1 species
GACGAACGCUGGCGGCGUGCUUAACACAUGCAUGUCGAACGGAAAGGCCUGCUUUCCCUUGUGGAUUGCGCGUACUCGAGUGGCGAACGGAUGAGUACCACGUGAGUGAUCUGCCCACAACUUGGUAAUAAGCCUGGGAAACUGGUUAUAAUUCCCGAUAGGACUGCAGUGUGUUGUCUGUGCAGGAAAGCGUUAUCCUUGUGCUUGGGGAUGAGCUCGCGGCCUAUCAGCUUGUUGGUGGGGGAAUGGCCAACCAAGGCGGCGACGGGUAGCCGGCCUGAGAGAGUGGACGGCAACAUGGGGCUGGGGAUACGGCCCAGCUUCUUACGGAAGGAAGCAGGGGGGAAUAUUGUACAAUGGGGGGAAGCCUGAUGCAGCGAGGAGGGGUGAGGGAUGACGGCCUUCGGAUUGUAAACUCCUUUCGAACGGGAGUAAGCCACCCGGUUGGAGGGGGGGUGAAGGUAGUGUAUGAAGAAGCACCGGCUAACUACGUG